rnacentral:rRNA from 1 species
CGUCACACUAUCAUUAACUGAAUCCAUAGGUUAAUGAGGCGAACCGGGGGAACUGAAACAUCUAAGUACCCCGAGGAAAAGAAAUCAACCGAGAUUCCCCCAGUAGCGGCGAGCGAACGGGGAGGAGCCCAGAGCCUGAAUCAGCAUGUGUGUUAGUGGAAGCGUCUGGAAAGGUGCGCGAUACAGGGUGACAGCCCCGUACACAAAAGCGCAUGUGCUGUGAGCUCGAUGAGUAGGGCGGGACACGUGGUAUCCUGUCUGAAUAUGGGGGGACCAUCCUCCAAGGCUAAAUACUCCUGACUGACCGAUAGUGAACCAGUACCGUGAGGGAAAGGCGAAAAGAACCCCGGCGAGGGGAGUGAAAAAGAACCUGAAACCGUGUACGUACAAGCAGUGGGAGCACCCUUCGGGGUGUGACUGCGUACCUUUUGUAUAAUGGGUCAGCGACUUAUAUUCUGUAGCAAGGUUAACCGUAUAGGGGAGCCGGAGGGAAACCGAGUCUUAACCGGGCGUUAAGUUGCAGGGUAUAGACCCGAAACCCGGUGAUCUAGCCAUGGGCAGGUUGAAGGUUGGGUAACACUAACUGGAGGACCGAACCGACUAAUGUUGAAAAAUUAGCGGAUGACCUGUGGCUGGGGGUGAAAGGCCAAUCAAACCGGGAGAUAGCUGGUUCUCCCCGAAAGCUAUUUAGGUAGCGCCUCGUGAAUUCAUCUCCGGGGGUAGAGCACUGUUUCGGCUAGGGGGCCAUCCCGGCUUACCAACCCGAUGCAAACUGCGAAUACCGGAGAAUGUUAUCACGGGAGACACACGGCGGGUGCUAACGUCCGUCGUGAAGAGGGAAACAACCCAGACCGCCAGCUAAGGUCCCAAAGUCAUGGUUAAGUGGGAAACGAUGUGGGAAGGCCCAGACAGCCAGGAUGUUGGCUUAGAAGCAGCCAUCAUUUAAAGAAAGCGUAAUAGCUCACUGGUCGAGUCGGCCUGCGCGGAAGAUGUAACGGGGCUAAACCAUGCACCGAAGCUGCGGCAGCGAACGUAUCACCCAAGACAACUUUACGGAGUUGACGAUUGACGGAGCGAAGCGACGUCAAAGCGUUCAUUAAAGUCGAGUUGGCUUAGGGAUACGUUCGUUGGGUAGGGGAGCGUUCUGUAAGCCUGUGAAGGUGUGUCGUGAGGCAUGCUGGAGGUAUCAGAAGUGCGAAUGCUGACAUAAGUAACGAUAAAGCGGGUGAAAAGCCCGCUCGCCGGAAGACCAAGGGUUCCUGUCCAACGUUAAUCGGGGCAGGGUGAGUCGACCCCUAAGGCGAGGCCGAAAGGCGUAGUCGAUGGGAAACGGGUUAAUAUUCCCGUACUUGGUGUUACUGCGAAGGGGGGACGGAGAAGGCUAUGUUGGCCGGGCGACGGUUGUCCCGGUUUAAGCGUGUAGGUGUGUGUUCCAGGUAAAUCCGGUUCACUUUAACACUGAGGCGUGACGACGAGGCACUACGGUGCUGAAGCAACAAAUGCCCUGCUUCCAGGAAAAGCCUCUAAGCAUCAGGUAACACGAAAUCGUACCCCAAACCGACACAGGUGGUCAGGUAGAGAAUACCAAGGCGCUUGAGAGAACUCGGGUGAAGGAACUAGGCAAAAUGGUGCCGUAACUUCGGGAGAAGGCACGCUGACACGUAGGUGAAGUGAUUUACUCAUGGAGCUGAAGUCAGUCGAAGAUACCAGCUGGCUGCAACUGUUUAUUAAAAACACAGCACUGUGCAAACACGAAAGUGGACGUAUACGGUGUGACGCCUGCCCGGUGCCGGAAGGUUAAUUGAUGGGGUCAGCGCAAGCGAAGCUCCUGAUCGAAGCCCCGGUAAACGGCGGCCGUAACUAUAACGGUCCUAAGGUAGCGAAAUUCCUUGUCGGGUAAGUUCCGACCUGCACGAAUGGCGUAAUGAUGGCCAGGCUGUCUCCACCCGAGACUCAGUGAAAUUGAACUCGCUGUGAAGAUGCAGUGUACCCGCGGCAAGACGGAAAGACCCCGUGAACCUUUACUAUAGCUUGACACUGAACAUUGAGCCUUGAUGUGUAGGAUAGGUGGGAGGCUUUGAAGUGUGGACGCCAGUCUGCAUGGAGCCGACCUUGAAAUACCACCCUUUAAUGUUUGAUGUUCUAACGUGGACCCGUAAUCCGGGUUGCGGACAGUGUCUGGUGGGUAGUUUGACUGGGGCGGUCUCCUCCUAAAGAGUAACGGAGGAGCACGAAGGUUGGCUAAUCCUGGUCGGACAUCAGGAGGUUAGUGCAAUGGCAUAAGCCAGCUUGACUGCGAGCGUGACGGCGCGAGCAGGUGCGAAAGCAGGUCAUAGUGAUCCGGUGGUUCUGAAUGGAAGGGCCAUCGCUCAACGGAUAAAAGGUACUCCGGGGAUAACAGGCUGAUACCGCCCAAGAGUUCAUAUCGACGGCGGUGUUUGGCACCUCGAUGUCGGCUCAUCACAUCCUGGGGCUGAAGUAGGUCCCAAGGGUAUGGCUGUUCGCCAUUUAAAGUGGUACGCGAGCUGGGUUUAGAACGUCGUGAGACAGUUCGGUCCCUAUCUGCCGUGGGCGCUGGAGAACUGAGGGGGGCUGCUCCUAGUACGAGAGGACCGGAGUGGACGCAUCACUGGUGUUCGGGUUGUCAUGCCAAUGGCACUGCCCGGUAGCUAAAUGCGGAAGAGAUAAGUGCUGAAAGCAUCUAAGCACGAAACUUGCCCCGAGAUGAGUUCUCCCUGAGACUUAGAGUCUCCUGAAGGAACGUUGAAGACGACGACGUUGAUAGGCCGGGUGUGUAAGCGCAGCGAUGCGUUGAGCUAACCGGUACUAAUGAACCGUGAGGCUUAACCUU